rnacentral:lncRNA from 1 species
GUAAAAGUGCCGGGAAUAUUAAUUACAAUCUAACCUCAAGGACCACUCAUAAAUAAGGGUAAGUUUAUAUAUAUAUGAAAACAUUAAUGAAGAAUGAAUAAACACAUUUAAAGGUUCCUGUAGAACUUCAAAAUAGUCAUUUAUUUUCAAUCAGCUAAUCUAAUAUUGUUUUUAUUAUUUUGGCACAUUAAUUACGUUGACAGCAUAUAUUUUAUGCUAGCACAUUUCAUGUUCUCAAGUCCACAUCCUAAUUACCCAAUCAUUCUGCUCUAUGUUUGAUUCUGAUAGUUCACUAAUUUAUCAUGUAACCCUAAUGAUCGUCCUUUUACUUUUCUCUACAGCUGAUUUCAAUGUAGAAACUGUUGCAUUUUGUUUAUGUUUUGAGUAUUUCUAUUUUCUGGUCAGGGUGUCUGUGUGUCUGUUAUUCCAUCCAAUAUUCUGUCUGCUUUCAUACUUCAUGUUAUAGUUCUAUUGUUAAUGUAAUUAACCAUGACGUUGUGGUCAAAUCUACUUACAAAUUAGAUCAAAUGUUCAUUGUAAUGUGAACUUUUAAAAUUUUACGCCAAAUUAUGGUUUAAAUUCUGAUUUAAUGGUUCACAGAAUAUUAGGUAGUGCAAGCAAGGCUUGUUGUCAUAUGUGCACAUAUAUUCUUGUUUUGGUGCAAAAUGGGUUGCAUAAUUUAUUCAAACUUGUUUUGUGAAUGUCAUGUCUACAUAAUUUUUUCUCUUCCUAUUUCCAUAUUUUUUACUCUCAUUUUUUUCUGGUUUCUGAAAUAGAAUUCCAAUUAUUACAAAUUAUGUAUCAUAAGGAAUAAUGUCAGACUCUGAGCUUUUCCCAUCACUUUGCGUCCGGUGUCCGUCGUCGUCGUCCGUUGUCGUUAACUUUUACAAAAAUCUUCUCCUCUGAAACUACUGGGCCAAAUUACACCAAACUUGUCCACAAUCAUCAUUGGGGUAUCUAGUUUAAAAAAUGUGUGGCGUGACCCUGCCAACCAACCAAGAUGGCCACCACGGCUAAAAAUAGAACAUAGGGGUAAAAUGCAGUUUUUGGCUUAUAACUCAAAAACCAAAGCAUUUAGAGCAAAUCUGUCUGGGGGUAAAAUUGUUUAUCAGGUCAAGAUCUAUCUGGGACAACAUCCCUAAUGCGCCCGAAGAGGGAACUCAAAAUCACGUGUAAAGAAAAAAUUCUGUGUAGUGAUAUGGACAUGUUUCUAUUUUUAACAAAUGACUGAACUUAUUAUUUGUGGGAUAAGAAAGUAGAGGAACAUAGAUAAAUGUGUAAAAACUAUGGAGCAUUGAAUGGUUCAAAGUAUAAAUUUUCAAGAACUUAUUGUGUUAAAAAGGAAUUUUACCACAGGAGCCGCAUCACAAAAGGAUGUCGGGUUGCUAAUUUACGGAAAGUAAUCUCACUUCGUACCCGAAAAUUUAACCACAUAUGUGAAAAUGUCACAGCUUCGAAACGAGCUAUCAUACAUAUCCAAGUUUACGAUAUGGACUGAUCUACAGGAAAAAACGUAACCAUUAACGCCUAUGUAAAAACAAUUAAAGAUAUUGAACCAUCUGCCCUGAAAUUUUCAGAUGAAUCGGACAACCCAUUGUUGGGUUGCUGCUGCACCUGAAUUGGUAAUUUUAAGGAAAUUUUGCUGUUUUUGGUUAUUAUCUUGAAUAUUAUUAAAGAUAGCGAUAAACUGUAAACAGCAAUAAUGUUCAGCAAAGUAAGAUUUACAAAUAUGUCAACAUGACUGAAAUGGUCAGUUGACCCCUUUAGGAGUUAUUGCCCUUUAUAGUCAAUUUUUAACCAUUUUUCGUAAAUCUUAGUAAUCUAUUACAAAAAUCUUCUCCUGAAACUACAUUGCCAAAUUAAUCCAAACUUGGCCACAAUCAUCAUUGGGGUAUCUAGUUUAAAAAAUGUGUGGCGUGACCUGGCCAACCAACCAAGAUGGCUGCCAUGGCUAAAAAUAGAACAUAGGGGUGAAAUGUAGAUUUUGGCUUAUAUCUCUGAAACCAAAGCAUUUAGAGCAAAUCUGAUAUGGGGUAAAUUGUUCAUCAAGUGAAAAUCUAUCAGCCCUGAAACUUUCAAAUGAAUAGGACAACCGGUUGUUGGGUUGCUGCCCGGAAAUUAGUAAUUUGAAGGAAAUUUUGCAGAUUUUGGUUAUUAUCUUGAAUAUUAUUAUAGAAAGAGAUAAACUGUAAACAGCAAUAAUGUUCAACAAAGUAAGAUCUACAAAUAAGUCAACAUGACCAAAAUUAUCAGUUGACCCCUUAAGGAGUUAUUGCCCUUUAUAGUAAAUUUUGACCAAUUUUUCGUAAAUUUUUGUAAUCUUUUACAAAAAUCUUCUCCACUGAAACUCCUGGACCAAAUUUAACAAAACUUGGCCACAAUCAUUAUUGGGGUAUCUAAUUUUGAAAAUGUGUGGUGUGACACGCCCAACUAAACAAAAUGGCUGCCAUUGCUAAAAUUAGAACAUAGAGGGGAAAGGUAGAUUUUGUCUUAUAUCUCUGAAACCAAAGCAUUUAGAGCUAAUCUGACUGGGUAAAAUUGUUUAUCAGGUCAAGAUCUAUCUGCCCUGAAAUUUUCAGACAAAUCAGACAACCUGUUGUUGGGUUGUUGCCCCCGAAUUAGUAAUUUUAAGGAAAUUUUGCAGAUUUUGGUUAUUAUCUUGAGUAUUAUUAUAGAUAGAGAUAAACUGUAAACAACAAUAAUGUUCAGCAAAAUAAGAUCUACAAAUAAGUCAACAUGACCAAAAUUGUCAAUUGACCCCUUAAGGAGUUAUUCUCCUUUAUAGUCAAUUGUUAACAAUUUUUAUAAAUUUUUGUAAAUUUUUGUAAAUUUUUAGGAAAUAUUUUCCACUGUAAUUACUGGGCCAAGCUCAUUAUAGAUAGAGAUAAUUGUAGCAACAAGAAUGUUCAGUAAAGAAAGAUCUACAAACACAUCACCAUCACCAAAACACCAUUUUGUCAUGAAUUUAUCUGUGUCCAUUGAUAAUAUGCACAUAGACCAAGGUGAGCGACACAGGCUCUUGAGAGCCUAUAGUUAUUUAUACUGGAUUCAUGUCAAAGAAGAUAAUGGUUACAUAGCUCCUAAACAGUAUCACAACAAAGAGUCUUUUAAAAGUUUUGAGGGAUCUGAGUCAAUCUUAUUUCUUUUAUAUUUGUAUGCUCAAUUACAAACCUUUUCUGCAGGUGAGACUUUUUACAAUGAACCUUUGAUCUUGCAUAUAAGAAUGUAACUGUUCAAAAAGUAAAUAGAAGGAUUGAUUUCCUUUAAUGCACUUGUGAUAGUGUAUCCCUGUAACUAGCUGUACAACAGUUAUAUUCCAGAAAAAUGAAACAGUAUUCUAUACUCUACUCAGUAUUACAGGGAACAAUUGUUUACCAGUAUUAUUUUUUCUAUUGAAGAGGAAUACUGUAUAAGCUAAAGAGGAGUUGUUCAAUUUUAAAAUUGCUUUUGUGAUUCAAGUUUUGAAUAAACUGUCAUACAAGUGGUAGGGUUAGCACCAACAAUAUCUUCAGAAAAUGUCUAACAAGUAAAUAUUUAGGCAUAAUUUGUUUUUCACUGUUUUUGUUGAUUGAUAGCUUUGAUUUUGUAAGUUUUUUGGGACUUCCCCUUUUUGAAUUUGCCUUAGAGUUCUGUAAUUUGGUUAUACCUUUGUUUCAGUACCUUUAAUUUGGAAGUGAAUGUUUAUGAUCUGUACACAAUGGUAGUGUUUAAGGCUUUUCUGCCAUAGCUGUAAGGUGUCUUUUAAACUUUGAUAAAAUAUAAUAUCAUGGAACUGGAAGAGUGCUAUUUUUAGGUAUCAAUGUUUUUACCCUUAAGAAAAGUUAAGAUAGACUUAAUAUUCUAUAACAUGCACAUGUUUGAAAUGUUGAUAAGAUUCAAUUAUAAUGCAAUAUACGUAAUUCCAACCUAUUGAACACUGGCAGUAUUUAUAUCUUCUUAGUUCUGACUUGUAUCACAUUGUUAGGUACAAAUGUCACUUACUUUUUUUACAGUUUAAGUUUGUUUCAAUAAAGUAUUGAAGUAUCUUGAAAGAUUUUAACAGGAUAUAAUUUCUAUUUCUUGUCAACAGAUUUAAACUCUUAAAAUCAAUCAAAAGUGGUAGAAUGAUCUUUAGAAUGUUGACAUUUAUAUCAAUAGUUUGGUUUCACAGAAACGGUGAUGUAUAAACAAAUACGUUUAAUUAUAGAUAGCUAAGUCUGUCCUAUACUUCUCUGGUAAAACUAUUUACUAAGUCUAUCAUAUAGUACUCUGUUAAAACUAUGUACAAAAAUGUACUAAGUCUGUCCUAUACUUCUCUGGUAAAAAUAUGUACUAUUAGUUUGUCCUUAUAUACUUCUGUGGUAAAACUAUGUAUCUGUUGUCUGCUCUAUGGUCGGGUUGUUGUCUCUUUGGCACAUUCCUCAUUUCCAUUCUCAAUUUUAUUUAUCUUUAUGGAGAAGGUGUAAGAAAACUGAUUUAACAUAAAGUCUGAUAUCAAACUUCAAUUUAACUUUAAUUUUUAUUUAAGCAUAUUUAUCAUUUACAUGAAAACCUCCUUACUUUCUAAAAUACCUUUCUCUGAUCCUUACUUUUUACUUGAAGGUACAUUAUGCAGGUUUCUUUGAUUAGAACAUACAUGAAUUUCUCAUCAAAUUUAUGCCAGCAAGUGUGAAGUGAAUCAUUUUCAUGAGAUUUUUUCAAAUGUAACAAUUUUGAUUGAUUUUAGGGGUCUAAUUCCCCUGUUAGUAUAUUUCAUGGUGGCCAGUUUUUGGGUGGAGAAUUAUCCUCAGUAAACCCAAGAGAACCACAGGAAAACUUGCAAUCCUUAUCAAUUAAGAUCUGAGUAAAAUACAUGAUGUUAAUCUAGGAUUCAGACUUAAAACCUCAGUGUUUAAAGGCAUAUUACAUUGUAGAUAAAGUACUUAUACCAAUGGGCCACCCAAGCCUAAAACAAAUUUGAAAUAUAGAAAAGUAAUAAAAUAAUUUAGAAAGACAAGUUUUUCUGAAAGAGUAAUGAGUGGUUGUUAAGAUUUUGUAGCUGUCUUCAGAAAUUUAUAGUCUUAACUUGUUUAUAGUCAUAUUAUUAUAAAUAUUUUAUAUUUUAUGCAUACAAAAAAGUGAAGUACCAUAUUACUCUCCUUGAUUUAGUUUUAAAAUUAAAUGCUGAUAAGUGCAUACAAAGGUGUGUGUUUUCUUAGGGUAUUUUUACCUUUAAUUGACAAAAAUAGAAAUCUGAUUCAAUUAAAAAUCAUAGUCAAUAAACUUCAUCAUCAGACUUCAUCAGAAGGUAAGACGUUUCAAUAGAUUUCUUAAAUAUAAGGAAAAAAGAUAUACAGCACAACAAAAUUAAUAGAAUCAAAAAGAAAUAUCAGAAAGUUGUUGUUGCAUUGACUUAAUCUGACUAAUACACUGUAGAAAAUCAUUUAUGAUUUGUUAUUAGAUAAUUCUGGAACUAUUUGAUAAAAUAAAUCAAAAUCUAUAAACAAUUUUAUGAAGAACUUUUCACUAUUUUUAAUUUACAAUUUAGUUGUCGUUGAACAUUGCUAAGUCUCUAGAUCAUGUUUAGAUAAGUUUUAAAUUUACAUCUCCAAAAAACUGUAAUGAAGUUUUUAAGAAUUUCUGAAUACAUUUUCUCCUGAACACAUCCUUAUUUUUAACUUUAAAUUUAACUUUUAAAAAUGCAAAUGACAAUUUAAAAAGAAAUGGAAAUUUUGCUAAUAAAAAAUAUGAUUCAGAUUUAAUUUCUGUAUGCAUGGUAUACAUCUUAAAAAUAACCUUCAUUUAAUUCAAAUUAGUUUUUUACCAUUCAGCCAGAAGUCUUUCAAGUUAGUUUUAUGUUCAGAAAUUUCUGCUAAAUAUCUUUCUUGCUCAACCACAGGUAUUGCUGUGCUUAAUACCUUCAUUAUCAGACAUUGUUUUUGUUUUUUCUUUGCCUCCAUUUUCAAUAUAUUGGAUGUUUUUGGUAUUUCCUUGCCAAAAUUUGUCCUGACAUAUUUAAUUGUUUUUGGUAUUUCUUUGUCCAUAAUAUGUCCAGGCAUGACUAUAUGGUUGUUUUUGGUAUUUCUUUGUCCAUAAUAUGUCUAGGCAUGACUAUAUAGUUGUUUUUUGGUAUUUCUUUUGCCAUGAUAUGCCCAUGCAGGUAUUAUGAUUGUUUUGGUAUCUAUUUGAUAUCUUACUUAUUUAUUCCUAGACAUACAUUUCAUUGUUUUGGUAUUUCUUAUGAUAAUGUCUUUUUGUCCAAACAUGGAUUCAACUGUUUUGGUGUUUUUCCCCCCUUUUUAUCUUUAUCCAUAUUAUCACAUUCUAUAUGCUGGUGUUUUAUUACCAUCUUGUAUUGAUCAAUAAAGGUGACAAUUUGAAAUAUAAAUCAUUCAUGUCAUACAUGUAUGGCCGUUUAUCAGUUAUUUUGCAGACCAUGUUUUUUAGCUCCCCCAACAUGAGGGCAUGGGAACUAUCAAGAACAAUAAUUAAAUCAGGUUGAACCAAAGGAGUAGGUCUGGUAAGGGCUGAUUUUGGCCUCAAAUUUCAGGUUCAUCUAACGAAAGUUUUUGGACAUUUACUAAAGUGUCUAUUUCAAUUGAUUCGAUUAGUUUAUGUGAAAGAAAAACGCUCUGAUUCAAGCCUGAAUAUGAAAAAUCUAUCAAAUAUGCCAAAAAAUGUCACUUUUAAGAUAGAUUUUGUCAAAAAUGAAAGUGGCCGCAUCCGUGUUCAUCCUCAACCUUUAUAUAUGUUUUGUAUUAUCAUCUGAUACAACUUACAUUUCAAUAUUAUGAAUGAACACGAAUGGGGCCACUUUCAUAGACGUAAACCGUCUAAAAAUUAACCAAAAUGCUAAAAUUUUGAAGAUUUCAGUGAUUUAGCAUGACUUAAUGAUGCUAGAACGCGAUAUUUGUGCAUUGUAUUGUCAAAAACAGCUCAUAUUUAUGUAGCAGAAGCAUUUUACUUUCAAAAUACAGCUUAAAGAUUACAUUUUCACAAUUUUCUAAAACUGCUAUAUUUUGGGGCAAAAAAGGGGUCUUUCUGAACCUUACUCCUUUGAAAGAAAAGCAUAUUUAUCAGUCAUUUAAAAGUGUAGCUUCUUUAGUGCUGAAGAGAAAAUCAAAACAAAGAAGUUAUAGUUUACAGUGAUACCUGAAAGGAUUUUAAAUUGUUUUCCAAGCUGAAGUAGAAUGAAGUCCAAUCAUACUGUUCUUUAGAGGGUAGCUAUUUGGGGGGACCAAGUUAAUGCUGUUCAAUUAAUACUUUCAUUUUGGCUUUUUGAAAUUAGACCAAUAUGGUCACCAUUAGUUUAUUUUUUCAAGAUUUUUUUUUCACAUUCAAUAUAUGACUCAAUCUGGGAGAAAACUAUAUUUUUGAUGAAUUCCUACCAAGUACAUUGUAAUUAUAGGUGUCAUUGAGUAAGCAGUGCAGUUUUCUUGGAGCCUCUGGUUUAAGAAAUAAAAGGUCAAUAUAUAGUUCAUCUUUGGAUACAUCCUUAAUUCUAAAUUAACAUCCGAUGGUCAGAUCAAUUUGACUUAUUUUAGAUUCAUGAAUUGAGUAACCAUUAUUUCAUUUUGCUUUAAUGUUUUAAUUUUAGAUUUUAAUGGUAAAUAAAAUUUGUAUUAUAUGUAAUACUAUGGACUUAUUUAUUUCAAAAAUGUUCAAUACCAAAAUCUUCUUCACAAUUUUUAUUCUUAAAAGAUUUACAGUUUUUUGGCAAAAUGAUAUGAGUGAAGAAAUCUUCUCUGUAUAAUUUUCAGGGAUCUUUGAAAAAUUUCACAACUAACAAUGUUUAUUUUGUGAAUUUUUUCUUUGCCAUUAGACAAACUAAAUAUUAGUAUAGUAGGUUUAAUCUUCUCUCAAUGUAAGACAUUAUGAUCUUUUUAAAUUUUAAAGAUCUUUACAGUUUAGGCAUCAAAAGUGUUUUCAGUGUUAAAGCCCAGUCAUGUCUUUUAAAUUGAAUAGGUCAAAUUUGGUAAAGCUAAGCACUGAAGUAUAUGCAAACAAUUUAUUUUUAAUCUUGUAAUAUCAGAUGGUAAGUGUUUUAUGUGGUUUAUAGUUACACAAUUUUUAAGCAUUGAUUUCAAGUUUUUUAUAGAUUUUUUAAAUACAUGUACAUUUCUCUACAAUUAUGUCCCUAUGCUACAAGGAAAGGGGACAGUAUGUUAUAUUGUCCCUGUUUUAUUUCUUUUUCUUUUUUCCAGUUCUGAUAGUGACUUAUGGUAUUCGAUAUGAACUUGUGAAGGUCUAUUAAUAUUAUUAAUAUCCACCUUCGGACCUCAUGACCUUUGACCUUAGGAUAAAAAAAGUUGAUUUUUUGGAAUCUUUUUGUAUUGAAGAUUUGAUUGUAAUAUAUGGUGUCACCUGAGCAUGAUCAAAUUUAUUAGUUUUAGGAACAUUUUCAUGUGAAAUAAAUCCUUUAGAUUUUUUCACUCCCGAGUCCUCUGAUAUCGAUGUUAUGUCGAUGAGGGAAAAGUACAUAUAUAGAAGUCUUCCUAGUAUUGGUCAAUGUUUAAUAUAUGAAAUUAUCAUGAUUUUAUAAAUGGUUUGUAUAAAUGUUUUCCCUGAAUUUUAACUACUUAAAUAAAUAGCCAACAUAUUAUACCAUUAACAUACAUUAUCAAACUAGUAAUUUCAAAGUGUUAUAAAUAAACAAUCAAGUAACCUUUAAUGUUAUGGUAUUUACAAAUUCUGAACAAAAACUUGAGAUAAUUGAUAUAUCAAUUUCUAAAUAGGCUAUGUAUUUCUGCCAAUGUAAAUUUACAAUAAAUGAAUUUUGUGUUACAAACAUUUUUAGCUGACAUAUAUUGUGUCUAAAUUUAAAAGCUGAAACAGAAAUAGUCUAAACUUUAUUUAUGCUAUUUUAAUAUGAUUCUGAAUAUUUUAAAACAUAAAUAAGGAAGCAGAAUUGGACAUUUGUUGACAGUAAGUUUUAUUUAAUUAUACCAAUUUGUUAUUUAAAUCAUUUGCAGUGGGGAUCCAGAGGAAGGGUUCCGGGGAUGGAUCCCCUCUUUAUCCUGAGUUUGGACCCCCCUUCUAAAAAUGUCUGGAUCCACCCCUGAUUUGGUUAUUGAAUUAUUAUUCCAGAAAAAAAUCUUUUAAAAUUCUAAAACUAUCUUACCAUACAAUUACUGAACCUAAAUGUUCAUUUACAGUUUGUCAGACUAUAAAGCAUUUUCACUGCUUCAAAUGUUGUAGGUAUCUGUUUUUAGUUGGCUUUCGUUGUUGGGUGAUUUUGCUAGAAGUGUUCCCCUGACUGAUCUACAUAGUAUUUUAGAAAAGAUUGCAUAUAGUGCAAAAACUGUUAUUAAAUAUUAUAUUGGUGAAUGCAUGGCGGGAAAAAUUGUUUCUUUUUGUUUUUGAAAUAAAAGCAAAUUGUAUAUAUUCAAUUCCUCCUUUAUCAUUGAACCUAUUGGAAUCAUUGUUCAUAGUAUAUCUUUAAUUCUGCAGUACAUGGCAUAGUUUGGGUUUUCUUUUAUCUGAAUGCCCUUUACUGUGCUUAUCCAGUAACCUUUGUGGUACCACAAUAACAAUGGCUAAAACAGUUUAUCAAAUUGCAAUUUGAAUUCUUCUCCCACAGUAAAAGAUUUUUUUCCACUAGUCUUUGUUUUACUAUGUACUAUAAAUGCAUGAUAUUUUUUUUCUUCUCCUUCACUUGGCUGUCCUAUCUAUCAUAACAGUCAUUCUCAUAUCAUUUUCGACUUAUGUAGGAAGGUGCACUUUUAUUUUAAUAUCUACACCAUUUUACACUUCUCAUGUUCUUGAUCUACAUUAAUUCUGGUUAUAGUGUGGAUCGACAAUUACACUUUAACUAAGGCUUUUGUUAAAAGUCUUAAGAUUUUGUACUUUCAUUGACAAUGGAUGAUACCUAGAAGAUUAAAGUUAUUGUAUGUGGAUUUGAGACAUGAAAGAUAAAAAUAUUUAAUACAUCAUGUUUCUUCUCAAGUUUUUCAUAUAGGUACAAGUUUUGAUAUAAAGAUCUCAUUUAAAUUAUCUCAUCUGUAAAUAAUUCAUUUUUUAAAUUUGUUUAUGUACAUAUAAAGAGUUUAAAAAUAUCAGAUUUUUAAACAAAACACCUAAAAUUAUUUCUUAUAAUUUUUUUUUCUGUGAUAAUAUUGUAUGUACAUAAUGAAAUUGAAUGAUAUUUGUUAUAGAUAAGUUAUUUGUUUUCAGGUCUAGGAUGAUGUAGAAGACAAGUUUCACAUCUUCUCAAGCAAAACAUUUUAAUUUUGAUGGUAUUAAGAAUGAAAGGAAGAUUUUGUUAAGCUAUCUGUGAAGACAUUUUAAAAGUCGGCUUUGAUUGGCACCUAACAAAAUAAAUACCAGAUAUUACAUUGAUCAAACGUUUUGUAUCAGUGGAUGAAAAUCAUUAAAAAAUAGAAAUGGUCGUGCAUGUAGAGUUGUAUUGAAUCUUGUGUUGACAAGACUUGACAGUUAAAUUUUGUUUAAGCCUCAUUGGAAUAUUGAUAAGUUUUUAUUUUUAAAAGUGUUUUGUAUGUUCAUACAUUGUAUGCAUUAUUUAUCAGAUACUUAAAAAAAAUCAUGAGUGCAUGCCGAGUAAUAAUAAAGAAAAGUGAAAAAAGUGAUGGAUAUUUUUAGUUUUCUAUAAAGAUCAGCAUUAAAGGAUAUGAAUGAAGCCUCAACGAUCAUGGACAACUUUGGACGAUGGGGCGUUGACAGAGGACAGGGUCAAUCUAAAGGACAGUAUGGUCCUCAAACUGCCCACAAACAGCCAACUAUUGAACAGACUUUAUGCUAA